UUGGCGCGCGCUGUCGCCAUGGCGGCGGGCGGAAGCGGAAGGUGCGCGGUGUUGAUGGCGGCGGGGGGUGCGACGCUGUGGCGGCGGCUGUCGGCUUGGCUGCCGCGGGGCCGCCUGGGGCUCGUAGCGUUGCUCGGCCGCCUCUCCGAUCGCCUCUCCCGCGGCCGCGACCGCCGCGCCCGCAGGUCAUCAUGGCUUCUUCUGGCGCCAUUGCUCACAUCUACUGUUCCUGCGAUCACAGCCCCUCCUUGUUCCCUCUGUCCAGAAGGAACACACAGGUUCCAGUGGAUCAGGAAUCUGGUUCCAGAGUUUGGAAUCUCCAGCUCACAUGUCAAGGUGCUCUCAUCCCCGGCUGAAUUCUAUGAACUCUUGAAGGUGCAGAUAAAAACAGCCAAGCAGCGAGUGGUAAUGGCUUCGCUGUACCUGGGAACGGGACUCCUUGAACAGGAGCUGGUCGAUUGCUUAGAAGAAACGCUGGAGAAAUCACUGCAAACAGAAGGAUCGCCGAACAUCCGAGUUUCUAUUCUUCUUGACUACACCAGGGGAUCUCGGGGUAGGAAGAAUUCUCGAACAAUGCUAAUUCCACUGCUGCGGCGAUUCCCUGAGCAAGUCCGUGUGUCCCUCUUCCACACUCCAAACCUGCGUGGACUUCUCCGGCUCCUGAUUCCAGAGCGUUUUAAUGAGACCAUUGGUCUGCAGCACAUCAAGGUCUAUCUCUUUGAUGAUAAUGUGAUCCUGAGCGGCGCAAACCUGAGUGAUUUGUACUUCACCAAUCGUCAGGACCGCUAUGUUCUCCUGCAGGACUCUCCUGAGAUUGCAGACUUCUUCACGGAGCUGGUGGAUGCGAUUGGAGAUGUGUCACUGCAAUUACAGCGAGAUGAUACGGUCCAGAUGAUGGAGGGGAUGGAACACCCAUACCAAGGAGACAAGGUGGUUUACUGUGAGACAGCAAAUCGGAGGGUCAUGGAGGUGAUCAACUCUGCCAGGAUACGACAGGAACUCCUUCACGCAAAGACUUUCCACAGCAGCCAGCAAAGCAGCUCCUCGUUACCCCAGCAAGGCUCUCAUGCAUCUGGGGGUCUGAAACCAGAACCAGACACCUGGAUCUAUCCCUUAAUCCAAAUGAAACCGUUCGGUAUUCAGAUAGAUGAGCUGGUGACAGAGACGCUGCUGACAGAGGCUGAACGGGAUGCCAGGAUAUACCUUACCACCGGCUAUUUCAACCUGACACAAGCAUACAUGGACCUCAUUCUAGGCACUAGGGCAGAGUACCGGAUUCUUCUGGCCUCACCGGAGGUGAAUGGUUUUUUUGGUGCCAAAGGGGUGGCAGGUGCCAUCCCCGCUGCCUAUGUUUACAUUGAACGCCAGUUUUACAGCGAGGUCUGCUGCCUUCACCAACAGGAGCGGGUCCAGCUGCAGGAGUACUCCCGGGCUGGGUGGACAUUCCAUGCCAAAGGAAUCACACAGUCUGUGUGACAGAGGAUGGAGCAGGAGAGGGAAAUGGAGGAAACUCUGGAGAUGGAUGGAGGGCAGUUGUACAGAGUCUGAGUCCUGGAAGAGGCCGUGAGAUCCCUGGCAAAAAAACCAUGCCUGUUAAUGCUUCCUCUCUGGGCGAAGAGGAAAGACAUCCUUUAUUCUCCUAGAGGAGCUAGCUGAUUUACUCCAAAUACUGUGGCUGCUGUUUUGUAAACCUUUUCAGCUCCCUUAAAUCUUACUUCCUGCGGUGUGUAUUCCCAACAGGGUUACACCUGUCCUUAGGUGCAUUUGGUGCAUGUGUGGUUGCAGCAGCCCAGUUUGGAGCGCUGGCAGCCAUUGUGCAUGCGUGGGUGGGAGAUGCAAACCUUUGCUAUGCGAGAGGCUUUUGUGGAUGUAACAUCGUGGAGCCUACCUGCAGCAGUGCACAUCUGCCUGUCUUAGGCUGGAUUUCUGGGUGCGGUGGUGUGGGUGACACAGGUAUGCUCUGUAGGAUUAGGGUCCCUUCCAUGGAAGUGACGAGAGUGCCGGGCAGGUGGCUGUUUGCUCCGAGAUAAACCUGCAUUACUGCUCGUGAAUGGGAGCUGGAAAACCACGCUUCCCCUUUCUGGAAAGGUGAGUCACUGUUUGAGCAGAUUCUGCCAGGUAGCCAUAAAGCCAGAGGCAUCGUAAAAGAUUUAGAGCUGCUGCGUGACUGCUUGGAACAAGCAAGGCAGUGUGUUCUUGGUAGGUGCUGCAGUGCAGAGCUCUGUCCGCCUACUGGGAGCCUUGAGACAUGGCUGGGGCAUCACACUUGUGGCAGAGCUUGCAGGGUCUCUGCACCGCUUGGGUGCUUCUUGAGACUGGCCAAGCUCACCGCGUGCUGCUGGGUUAUGGCAGUGCCAGCUCAGCCAGGAGGUCUGACUGAAAGAGGCAGUGAAGCUGCAGAGCCUGUGUGAUGUGGGGGCGGGGAGGAGGUUACAGGAACCAGCGGUGAAUCGGCAGCUUCUUACUCAAGGCAUUCUUGGAACUGCUCUGGGGCUGAGUUAGGAAACCUGAUUCUAUUUUAAGGAUGAGGUGGUUUUUAUGCUAUGAUUUCUUUAUUGUAGUCCAUUUGACUUGCAGCAGGGAGGAGCCAUCUCUCAGGAACCUGCCCAAGACUGUGCUAAGUGCUUGUUUCUUGCUAAGUGGAGGACAAACACUUCUCAGGCCUCUGGCUGUACCUGGCAGGAAGCGAUCUUCCCUGCCUGACCUUGAUUGGUUCUCCUAAUUUUGGAUAUCGAUCUGUCCAUCGUGACUUGGAAGCUCAGGUUGCGAUAGUGACCGAAAAUAAAGCUUUGCAGCA